rnacentral:rRNA from 1 species
UACGGAGGAUGCGAGCGUUAUCCGGAUUUAUUGGGUUUAAAGGGUGCGUAGGCGGAUUUUUAAGUCAGCGGUAAAAUGUCCGGGCUCAACCCGGGCCGGCCGUUAAAACUGGGGAUCUUGAGUGGGCGAGAAGUAUGCGGAAUGCGUGGUGUAGCGGUGAAAUGCAUAGAUAUCACGCAGAACUCCGAUUGCGAAGGCAGCAUACCGGCGCCCGACUGACGCUGAGGCACGAAAGCGUGGGGAUCGAACAGG